rnacentral:rRNA from 1 species
AGCAGCCGCGGUAAUUCCAGCUCCAAUAGCGUAUAUUAAAGUUGUUGCAGUUAAAAAGCUCGUAGUUGAAUUUCGGGGUUAGUAGGUUGGUCGUGCCACUGGUACGUACUGGUCUCACUGAUUCCUCCUUCCUGAUGAACUGUAAUGCCAUUAAUUUGGUGUUGCAGGGAAACUGGACUGUUACUUUGAAAAAAUUAGAGUGUUUAAAGCAAGCUAACGCUUGAAUACAUUAGCAUGGAAUAAUGAAAUAGGACGUUCGAUCCUAUUUUGUUGGUUUCUAGGAUUGACGUAAUGAUUAAUAGGGAUAGUUGGGGGCAUUAGUAUUCAAUUGUCAGAGGUGAAAUUCUUGGAUUUAUUGAAGACUAACUACUGCGAAAGCAUUUGCCAAGGAUGUUUUCAUUAAUCAAGAACGAAAGUUAGGGGAUCGAAGACGAUCAGAUACCGUCGUAGUCUUAACCAUAAACUAUGCCGACUAGGGAUCGGAUGAUGUUAAUUUUUUCAAUGACUCAUUCGGCGCCUU